GACGAACCAUGCAAACGUUAUUCGGAAUUACUGGGCUUAAAGCGUGCGUAGGCGGCUCAGUAAGUUGGGUGUGAAAUACCUCGGCUUAACCGAGGAAUUGCGCCCAAAACUACUGGGCUUGAGGGAGUUAGAGGUGAGCGGAACUCACGGUGGAGCGGUGAAAUGCGUUGAUAUCGUGAGGAACACCGGAGGCGAAAGCGGCUCACUGGGGCUUCACUGACGCUGAGGCACGAAAGCUAGGGGAGCAAACGGG
rnacentral:rRNA from 1 species